UACGUAGGUGGCGAGCGUUAUCCGGAAUUACUGGGCGUAAAGCGUGCGUAGGCGGCUUAGCGAGUGAGAUUUGAAAGCUCGGGGCUCAACUCCGGAUCCGGAUCCCAAACUGCUAGACUCGAGAGUAUCGGAGGAGAGCGGAAUUCCCGGUGUAGCGGUAAUAUGCGUAGAUAUCGGGAGGAACACCAGUGGCGAAGGCGGCUCGCUGGGGUAUUUCUGACGCUGAGGCACGAAAGCCAGGGGAGCGAACGGG
rnacentral:rRNA from 1 species